rnacentral:rRNA from 1 species
UUCAUGACUCUCGGCAACGGAUAUCUUGGCUCUCGCAUCGAUGAAGAACGUAGCGAAAUGCGAUACUUGGUGCGAAUUGCAGAAUUUCGUGAACCAUCGAGUCUUUGAACGCAAGUUGCGCCCGAGGCGAUCUGGCCAAGGGCACGCCUGCUUGGGCGUCACG